GGGAAGUUGUAUAACGAAGAAUGUGAUCGGUUCAUGAUAUGCAUGGUUCACAAACUUGGUUAUGGAAACUGGGACGAACUGAAGGCAGCAUUUCGCACAUCACCCUUGUUUCGCUUUGAUUGGUUUAUCAAGUCGCGAACGACGCAAGAACUUGCGAGGAGGUGUGAUACCUUAAUCCGAUUAGUGGAGAAAGAAAACCAGGAACAUGACGAAAGGGAG
rnacentral:misc_RNA from 1 species